rnacentral:rRNA from 1 species
UACGUAGGGUGCGAGCGUUCAUCGGAAUUACUGGGCGUAAAGCGUGCGCAGGCGGGUUUGUAAGCCAGAUGUGAAAGCCCCGGGCUUAACCUGGGAAUGGCAUUUGGGACUGCAAGGCUUGAGUGCGGCAGAGGAGACUGGAAUUCCUGGUGUAGCAGUGAAAUGCGUAGAUAUCAGGAGGAACACCGAUGGCGAAGGCAGGUCUCUGGGCCACUACUGACGCUGAGAAGCGAAAGCAUGGGGAGCGAACAGG